GCCCGCACAAGCGGUGGAGCAUGUGGAUUAAUUCGAUGCAACGCGAAAAACCUUACCUGGCCUUGACAUGUAACGAACUUUCCAGAGAUGGAUUGGUGCUCGAAAGAGAACGUUAACACAGGUGCUGCAUGGCUGUCGUCAGCUCGUGUCGUGAGAUGUUGGGUUAAGUCCCGCAACGAGCGCAACCCUUGCCAUUAAUUGCCAUCAUUUAGUUGGGCACUUUAAUGGGACUGCCGGUGACAAACCGGGGGAAGGUGGGGAUGACGUCAAGUCCUCAUGGCCCUUAUGGCCAGGGCUUCACACGUAAUACAAUGGUCGGUACAGAGGGUUGCCAACCCGCGAGGGGGAGCCAAUCCCAGAAAGCCGAUCGUAGUCCGGAUUGUAGUCUGCAACUCGACUACAUGAAGUCGGAAUCGCUAGUAAUCGCGGAUCAGCAUGUCGCGGUGAAUACGUUCCCGGGCCUUGUACACACCGCCCGUCACACCAUGGGAGUGGGUUUUACCAGAAGUAGGUAGUCUAACCGCAAGGAG
rnacentral:rRNA from 1 species